AAACCAACAGGGAUUGCCUUAGUAGCGGCGAGUGAAGCGGCAAAAGCUCAAAUUUGAAAUCUGGUACCUUCGGUGCCCGAGUUGUAAUUUGAAGAAAGCUAUCUUGGGUUUGGCCCUUAUCUAUGUUCCUUGGAACAGGACGUCACAGAGGGUGAGAAUCCCGUGCGAUGGGGUGUCCAAAUCUAUGUAAGAUGUUUUCGAAGAGUCGAGUUGUUUGGGAAUGCAGCUCUAAGUGGGUGGUAAAUUCCAUCUAAAGCUAAAUAUUGGCGAGAGACCGAUAGCGAACAAGUACAGUGAUGGAAAGAUGAAAAGAACUUUGAAAAGAGAGUGAAAAAGUACGUGAAAUUGUUGAAAGGGAAGGGUAUUUGAUCAGACUUGGUAUUUAGUUAUCAUUGUCCUUCGGGGUGGUGCUCUAGCUUUUUACUGGGCCAGCAUCAGUUUUGGUGGCAAGAUAAUCGCAGUGGAAUGUGGCUCUUCGGAGUGUUAUAGCCUUUGUUGAUAUUGCCUACCGAGACUGAGGUCUGCGACUUUGUCUAGGAUGCUGGCGUAAUGAUCAAAUACCGC
rnacentral:rRNA from 1 species